AUCCAGCUGACGAGUUCCAAAUAGGACAAGACGAGCGUCCUAGAU
rnacentral:hammerhead_ribozyme from 1 species